CAGGACGAACGCUGGCGGCGUGCCUAAUAUACGCCAGUCGAGACGACCGACUUGAGCAUGCUGGCUUGGGUCACCGGCCGAAGGUCGAGUGACAUGUGGGUUACCGGCCUGUACGGCUGGCAUAGCUCCGGGCCACCUGGGCUAGUAUCGAACGCUUGAUCGAUCCUCAUGCCUCAAGCAUAAAAGAGGGCAGUUCUCUUCCACUUUCGGAUGGACCCGCGGCGCAUUAGCUACUUGGGCAGCGAACGGCUUACCCAGGGGACCAAGCCUAUCACAACUGAGAAGGUGAUCGGCCCCGCUGGCACUGACACACGGUCCAUACUCCUACGCGAAGGAGCAUUUGGGAAUCCUUCGCAAUGGAAGAAAGUCUGAAGGAUCAACUCCCCGUGAAUGAUGAAGGUUUUCGGAUUAUAAAACUCUGUUGUUAGGGRAAAACAAAUUCCGUUCAAUUAGGGCGGGAACCUGGCGGGUCCCAACCAGAAAUGCCCCGGUAAUUAUUUGCCACCAUCCGCGCUAAUACUUAGGGGGCAAGCGUUGUCCGGACUCAUUGGGCGUAAAGGGCGCGCAGGCGGUUUCUUAAGUCUG
rnacentral:rRNA from 1 species